GGAUGUGAGGGUGAUCUGGCUGUGACACCUGUCACCCCAUUGAUCACCAUUGAUUUGGCUGAUCUGGUUAGCUAGGCGGGUGUCUUCUCCUCCCUCACUGCUCCAUGUGUGUCCAUCCCUCCCAAAGCUGUGUGCUUGGUCAAGAGGACGAACCAGCCAAGAUAGAGGAGGACCAUUCUUAGGUGAAGGGUAUACGAGUAGCUGGGCUCCCCUGCUAGAACCUCUAAACAAGCUCUCAAAUGUCUGUGGCCGUCUCAUUUAGCGGAAAAAUCAAAACCUAGAUGUCAGGGUUAUAAAGAUAACUUAAAGGGC
rnacentral:snRNA from 1 species